rnacentral:piRNA from 1 species
UACCAAUCGAUUACUUUUGCUGGAGAA